GCGGUCUCCGCCCCCGCAGCACAGGCCUACCCCGGCGACGCCCACAGCCUGGCCUACCGGGCCCACCGGGGGCAAUAGCAGAUUACAUCACCUAGGACCAAGUCAGCACGGUGAUACUGUGCCAAAACCUACCAAAAACUAUUUAUUUCCUCUCUAUUUGUUUUAAAAAAUAAUUUAUUGUUGUUGUACGUGAUACUCCUGUUUGAAUUGUAAUAUAGAAAAUUUAUUUACAAUAAAAUAAUUAAAACCUA